UCCGAGUUGACCCCGGCAGUCUCCUGAGAGUGCCCAGCAUUACCUGGUAGCAACACAGGACAAGGGUUGCGCUCGUUGCGGGACUUAACCCAACAUCUCACGACACGAGCUGACGACAGCCAUGCAGCACCUGUGUUCCGAUUCCCUUUCGGGCACUCCCACCUCUCAGCAGGAUUCCGGACAUGUCAAGGGUAGGUAAGGUUGUUCGCGUUGCAUCGAAUUAAUCCACAUCAUCCACCGCUUGUGCGGGUCCCCGUCAAUUCCUUUGAGUUUUAACCUUGCGGCCGUAGUCCCCAGGCGGUGGACUUAGCGCGUUAGCUACGACACUGAAAGGCUUACCCUUCCAACGUCUAGUCCUCAUCGUUUAUGGCGUGGACUAC
rnacentral:misc_RNA from 1 species